GCCUCGGUAGCGCAGUAGGCAGCCCGUCAGUCUCAUAAUCUGAAGGUCGUGAGUUCGAACCUCAUCCGGGGCA
rnacentral:tRNA from 1 species